CGGACGUAGCUCAGUUGGUAGAGCAUCAGCUUCCCAAGCUGAGUCAGCACGGGUGAACCCUUCCGUCGA
rnacentral:tRNA from 1 species